rnacentral:rRNA from 1 species
UACGAAGGGUGCAAGCGUUACUCGGAAUUACUGGGCGUAAAGCGUGCGUAGGCGGUUUGUUAAGUCUGUCGUGAAAGCCCCGGGCUCAACCUGGGAAUGGCGAUGGAUACUGGCGAGCUAGAGUACGGUAGAGGAGAGUGGAAUUCCCGGUGUAGCAGUGAAAUGCGUAGAGAUCGGGAGGAACAUCAGUUGCGAAGGCGGCUCUCUGGACCAGUACUGACGCUGAGGCACGAAAGCGUGGGUAGCAAACAGG